CUAAACAUCAUCCCUUAAGCGUAUACUAUAUAAAACCAUAACGGUCGUAUAACAGUGCAAUAUGGGAUUCUGCUAAAAACUCUAAUAAGAGAACCGUUUAAGUCUUCCAAAAUAUCUGCGUUUACUUAAUGGCUUGAGUAUCCUAGUGCGAUUCAAAGAUUUCCAUAAAAUCUGUUCAACCGACAAAUAAUCACUACUCUUGACUAUAAAUGUUUUAUCGCAAAGCUCCAAUCCAAUUACAACCAGUUCGUCGAGGAUCCAGCCUCAAGCUCAACUAUAUUCUACCCUACCAGGCGUCAAAAGCGGUUCUGGUACCGCGACAUGAAUUUCCUAUGAAUUAAAUUUAUUGGAUACCUAUACCAAGAGAGU